rnacentral:rRNA from 1 species
UGAGCAAUCUGCCCUUCUCAUCGGAAUAAGCGUUGGAAACGACGUCUAAUGCCGAAUACGACCUCCUUUCGCAUGAUCGGAGGUGGAAAGCUCCGGCGGAGAAGGAUGAGCUCGCGGCCUAUCAGCUUGUUGGUGUGGUGAUGGCCUACCAAGGCGACGACGGGUAGCCGGCCUGAGAAGGCGACCGGCCACACUGGGACUGAGACACGGCCCAGACCUCCGUAGGGA